rnacentral:rRNA from 1 species
GAUCCUGGCUCAGGAUGAACGCUGGCGGCGUGCUUAACACAUGCAAGUCGAACGGAACUACUUUGAUGAGAUUCUUCGGAAAGGAUUUGAUUUAGUUUAGUUGGCGGACGGGUGAGUAACGCGUGGGUAACCUGCCUCAUACAGGGGGAGUAACAGUUGGAAACGGCUGUUAAUACCGCAUAAGCGCACAGUACCGCAUGGUAUGGUGUGAAAAACUACCGGUGGUAUGAGAUGGACCCGCGUCUGAUUAG